CACUUUACACUUCCAUUCUGAUUCUGGUCUCACUGAAAAUCACACCAAGAAAUGGACUGGGACCAAACCAAACCAAAUCAAAUGUGUAAUUCAUGGUCUCAGUGGCUGGGGGUGGCGAAAGGGCCAUCGGGAACCCAAACUCUUUAAGCAGAUCAUGAUUCUCCCUCCAGCGCCUCAUCCCCCUUUACAGGAGCUAUGUGCAUGCAUCCGCCGAUCAAAUGCCCAUGUAAACACGAUAGUAACCUCCACCAAUAGUAAAAGCAAGACGGACCAGGUACCUAUAUUGGGAUUGGAUAUCGUUUAAUGACCAACUUCUAUUCUAUAUACUACCGAUUCCCAACACACAAGACAGAGGAAAGAAACAGGAU
rnacentral:sRNA from 1 species